CCAAUAGCGUAUAUUAAAGUUGUUGCAGUUAAAAAGCUCGUAGUUGAAUUUUGGGUCUGGCCGGGCGGUCCGCCCUCUGGGUGAGCACUGUUCCGACGUCGGGCCUAUCCUUCUGGUGAGUCGGCAUGUCCUUUAUUGGGUGUGUCGGGGAACCAGGACCAUUACCUUGAAAAAAUUAGAGUGUUCACAGCAGGCGUAUGCUCGGAUACAUUAGCAUGGAAUAAUGAAAUAGGACGCGUGGUGCUAUUUUGUUGGUUUCUAGAACCGCCGUAAUGAUUAAUAGGGAUAGUUGGGGGCAUUAGUAUUCAAUUGUCAGAGGUGAAAUUCUUGGAUUUAUUGAAGACUAACUUCUGCGAAAGCAUUUGCCAAGGAUGUUUUCAUUAAUCAAGAACGAAAGUUAGGGGAUCGAAGACGAUCAGAUACCGUCGUAGUCUUAACCAUAAACUAUGCCGACUAGGAAUCGGGCGAUGUUAUUCUCAUGACUCGCCCGGCGCCUUAU
rnacentral:rRNA from 1 species